CAUGCAAGUCGAGCGGAGUUUUGAAAAGCUUGCUUUUCAAAACUUAGCGGCGGACGGGUGAGUAACACGUGGGCAACCUGCCCUUGAGACGGGGAUAACUCCGGGAAACCGGAGCUAAUACCGGAUAACACAUAUCUUCGCAUGAGGAUAUGUUAGAAGGUGGCUUUUAGCUACCACUCAAGGAUGGGCCCGCGGCGCAUUAGCUAGUUGGUGAGGUAACGGCUCACCAAGGCGACGAUGCGUAGCCGACCUGAGAGGGUGAUCGGCCACACUGGGACUGAGACACGGCCCAGACUCCUACGGGAGGCAGCAGUAGGGAAUCUUCCGCAAUGGACGAAAGUCUGACGGAGCAACGCCGCGUGAGUGAUGAAGGUUUUCGGAUCGUAAAGCUCUGUUGUUAGGGAAGAACAAGUACCUGUUAAAUAAGCAGGUACCUUGACGGUACCUAACCAGAAAGCCACGGCUAACUACGUGCCAGCAGCCGCGGUAAUACGUAGGUGGCAAGCGUUGUCCGGAAUUAUUGGGCGUAAAGCGCGCGCAGGCGGUUCCUUAAGUCUGAUGUGAAAGCCCACGGCCCAACCGUGGAGGGUCAUUGGAAACUGGGGAACUUGAGUGCAGAAGAGGAGAGCGGAAUUCCACGUGUAGCGGUGAAAUGCGUAGAGAUGUGGAGGAACACCAGUGG
rnacentral:rRNA from 1 species